AUUGGGAUGCCAGUAUCCACAGUAUGUUAAUGUUGUAUAUUGGGAUGCCAGUAUCCACAGUAAAUGUAUGUUAAUGUUGUAUAUUGGGAUGCCAGUAUCCACAGUAAAUGUAUGUUAAUGUUGUAUAUUGGGAUGCCAGUAUCCACAGUAAAUGUAUGUUAAUGUUGUAUAUUGGGAUGCCAGUAUCAACAGUUGUUAUACGUUAAUGAGUAAUAUUUGAAAUUUCAAAAAUGAAAUGACCAAAGUAUUGCCCCCGGUAUGUGUAACAAGGGAGCAAUCCAACCUGUCGAAGGACUUUGUAUAGAAGGCUGGGUCCACAUUAAACGACAAUAUUUGUCCGAGUAUCGGUCACAAACUGUAUUUUAUUUCAUUUUGCAUCUUUUCUUUGUUUUUGUGAAGUUCAUAGUUCCUUCGGUUUAUGCUCACAUUUAAAGUGUAAUGACUAAAACAACUGACCAGAUAUUAACCGGGGAAUCAUUUUCAGCGUGUCUCCUUGAAUAUCUCCUCUGGGGGAGGGAGGUGUUUUCUCCUUUUCACUGUUUAUUUCAACAUUGACUAUUGAUUAUUACAGAAGUCCGUGUUGAUCUUGUACAGAUGUCUGUUUAUCAGUAUUUCACAGUCUUUACUGAUGUGAGAGAUGUGGCAGUAUUUCACAGCCUUUACUGAUGUGAGAGGUGUGACAGUAUUUCACAGUCUUUACUGAUGUGAGAGGUGUGACAGUAUUUCACAGCCUUUACUGAUGUGAGAGAUGUGACAGUAUUUCAGUCUUUACUGAUGUGAGAGGUGUGGCAGUAUUUCACAGCCUUUACUGAUGUGAGAUAUGUGGCAGUAUUUCACAGCCUUUACUGAUGUGAGAGGUGUGGCAGUAUUUCACAGCCUUUACUGAUGUGAGAGGUGUGACAGUAUUUCACAGCCUUUACUGAUGUGAGAGGUGUGACAGUAUUUCACAGCCUUUACUGAUGUGAGAUAUGUGGCAGUGUUUCACAGCCUUUACUGAUGUGAGAGAUGUGACAGUAUUUUACAGUCUUUACUGAUGUGAGAGGUGUGACAGUAUUUCACAGUCUUUACUGAUGUGAGAUGUGUGACAGUAUUUCACAGUCUUUACUGAUGUGAGAUGUGUGACAGUAUUUCACAGUCUUACUGAUGUGAGAGAUGUGACAGUAUUUUACAGUCUUUACUGAUGUGAGAUGUGUGACAGUAUUUCACAGUCUUUACUGAUGUGAGAGAUGUGACAGUAUUUUACAGUCUUUACUGAUGUGAGAGGUGUGACAGUAUUUCACAGUAUUUACUGAUGUGAGAGCUGGUGUGACAGUAUUUCAGCCUUUACUGAUGUGAGAGGUGUGGCAGUAUUUCACAGCCUUUACUGAUGUGAGAGGUGUGACAGUAUUUCACAGUCUUUACUGAUGUGAGAGGUGUGACAGUAUUUCACAGCCUUUACUGAUGUGAGAUGUGUGACAGUAUUUCACAGCCUUUACUGAUGUGAGAGGUGUGGGCGUUGUAGAAAUAUUUACAAUGUGACUUACCGUUAUUGUUAGGUAAGGACCUGUGUAUAUACCAUGUUAGUGGUUUACAGAGAGGAUGUCGGUAUUUAUACAGCUGAAGCAGGUAUCAAACCUCAACUACAUGUAGCUAUAGGGUGUAUAACUAUGGGACAUGUUAUCAUUGACAAAUAAACUCGUCAAACAUUU